rnacentral:rRNA from 1 species
CCUCGGAGAGUUUGAUCCUGGCUCAGGACGAACGCUGGCGGCGUGCCUAAUACAUGCAAGUCGAGCGAACAGAAGGGAGCUUGCUCCCGGAUGUUAGCGGCGGACGGGUGAGUAACACGUGGGUAACCUGCCUGUAAGACUGGGAUAACUCCGGGAAACCGGAGCUAAUACCGGAUAGUUCCUUGAACCGCAUGGUUCAAGGAUGAAAGACGGUUUCGGCUGUCACUUACAGAUGGACCCGCGGCGCAUUAGCUAGUUGGUGGGGUAAUGGCUCACCAAGGCGACGAUGCGUAGCCGACCUGAGAGGGUGAUCGGCCACACUGGGACUGAGACACGGCCCAGACUCCUACGGGAGGCAGCAGUAGGGAAUCUUCCGCAAUGGACGAAAGUCUGACGGAGCAACGCCGCGUGAGUGAUGAAGGUUUUCGGAUCGUAAAGCUCUGUUGUUAGGGAAGAACAAGUGCGAGAGUAACUGCUCGCACCUUGACGGUACCUAACCAGAAAGCCACGGCUAACUACGUGCCAGCAGCCGCGGUAAUACGUAGGUGGCAAGCGUUGUCCGGAAUUAUUGGGCGUAAAGGGCUCGCAGGCGGUUUCUUAAGUCUGAUGUGAAAGCCCCCGGCUCAACCGGGGAGGGUCAUUGGAAACUGGGAAACUUGAGUGCAGAAGAGGAGAGUGGAAUUCCACGUGUAGCGGUGAAAUGCGUAGAGAUGUGGAGGAACACCAGUGGCGAAGGCGACUCUCUGGUCUGUAACUGACGCUGAGGAGCGAAAGCGUGGGGAGCGAACAGGAUUAGAUACCCUGGUAGUCCACGCCGUAAACGAUGAGUGCUAAGUGUUAGGGGGUUUCCGCCCCUUAGUGCUGCA